CUACGGGCCGCUCCAGUGGGGAAUAUUGGACAAUGGGCGCAAGCCUGAUCCAGCAAUGCCGCGUGAGUGAAGACGGCCUUAGGGUUGUAAAACUCUUUCGCUAGGGAAGAUAAUGACUGUACCUAGUAAAGAAGUCCCGGCUAACUCCGUGCCAGCAGCCGCGGUAAUACGGAGGGGACUAGCGUUGUUCGGAAUUACUGGGCGUAAAGAGUUCGUAGGCGGACUGACAAGUUUGAGGUGAAAUCCCAGGGCUCAACCCUGGAACUGCCUUUAAAACUGUCAGUCUAGAGACCGGAAGAGGUUAGGGGAAUACCUAGUGUAGAGGUGAAAUUCGUAGAUAUUAGGUGGAACACCAGUGGCGAAGGCGCCUAACUGGUCCGGUACUGACGCUGAGGAACGAAAGCGUGGGGAGCAAACAGGAUUAGAUACCCGCGUAGUC
rnacentral:rRNA from 1 species